CUUCCCAGAAGACAAAGAACCAUCCCCGGAGAGAGGAGGACCCCAGGAGGUGAUGUAAAACCCCAGUGGAGCAUGAGCCCUGAAGACUCUAAAUGGGCCAUCAGGAGGGUGCAGAACAGCAGAAUUUUCUCACUGUAGCGGGAAGGACGCCAUUGGAGGACCAGUGCAGGAACAGACCCUUCCGACCACGGGGACCGAAGAGCCACCAUGUUCCCCAGCUGUGCAGAUGUUGGCUGCAGAAGCAAUACUGUCACUGAUGGAGGAGGACCCCAGCUGGAUGCCAUGGGGCAGACCUCCGUCACCCAGCAAGAAGGACAAGUCACCGUGAAACAGAAAGAAACGUUCCAGACCACUUGCACGUAUCAAAUCCCCAGCUUAUAUGCUUUGUACUGGUACCAGCAGAAGAAGGGACAAGCCCCUCAGCUGGUCAUAUACCACACCAGUGCAGGCACCAAGCAGAGCGGCCGUUUCACCAUGGAGCUGAACACUGUGUGGCAAUCCAGCGUUCUGCGGCUGAAGGAAGUCGAGCUCUCUGACAGCGCCUUGUACCUCUGUGCUGUGCGUGACACCCUGGUGCAGGGAGCUACACUGGCUGUGCAACAACCCCGGAUGGGGAGGGGAUGAACAUCCUGGCUUGCUGAGGCCCUUCUGUGUUGUCUGUCCAGAAGAUAUCGAGUGGUGGAGGACAAUGAAUCCUGAGCAGCAGCUCCAUCUUCUCCUUCCUCCUGCUGCCGCUGUCUUUGCCUAGGGAUGGAGGAAGGUCUACAGAGUGCUUUCUUUCCUUGCUGCCGGGUUUGUCUGAUAGCUGAGAGCUGCUGCUCACGGAGGAGACCACGGUGGAGCAGGUGGCCCUGCACCGACGGAGGCUGCCGCCUGUGGAAGACUCCUGCCGGAGCAGA